CCUUGAAUGGGGCGUGCCCAUCACUGCUUUUGUCAUAGUGCCUCAGAUUGGAAUGACCCCCGCCCAGGAGAGUGGCCAAGCACACUGUGGCCCACUCAUACAUCAGAAGAUUACACACUGGAUAAAAUGACACAAGCCACCUGCUACACACCAUGGUGCAGGUGAAUCUCCAGGCUUUGUGUGCAGUAAAGUAAGCCAGACACAGAGACCAAAUUUUACUGUUUGUAUGAACACCAAGAGUCUCUGGUGUUAAAAGUCAGGCUAGCAGUCACCUCUGGGGUGGCAUUUACUGGGGAGAAGACCUGGGGAGCAUGAAAUGUUGAUGCCUCGAUCUGAGGUUGGGUGGCUGUAGGAACCCCUGUGGCCGCCCACCCAGCUGUGCACAUAGUCCUGGGGAACUCCAUUUCGCAUAAAUUACACGGUGGGCAGGACCCAGGUCACAAGGGAUGGAAUCUAUGCAGAAAGGAGGUGUUCCAAGGGGAACUCAGAAGAGCAGGGAAGGAGAAUAGAGUGACGCUACUGCUGGGAAAGAGAAGGUCCAGUGCGUUCUUGCCAGAAAGUGCCUUCCUUCCUGGCAGGGUGGCGUCUCUCCCUCCUCCACAGGUGACAGCAGAGAAAACACAGCCUCACGUAGACCCUCCCUUCUCGAAAGGAGCCGACAGUCCUGAUCCCAGGCCCCAAAGCUCCUCUCAACCAUCAGCCCCAAUCACAACGACUCAACAACUCGACCUGCCUGCACACAACCUCAGCUCUGCACUUAGGACCUGCCCAAGCCAGCCUUCACCUUGGGAGCUGAAAAGUUCACAUCAAGCAGAUUUUCCUCCAGUGUCCUUGACAGGAAAGCUACAUCUGAGAGCGUUUAACCCCAAACUCCAAAGCUGCAAACAGUCAAGAGAACCUAGGCCAGAGCGAGGCCUGCACAGCACAGUGCACGGGCCCUCGGGACAGACGUCCAAGGGACCUGGAUAGCACUCUUUUGCCCGCCCUGGUCUGUCUGUCCUAGCACCCAGGAUGUCCCUUCUCCCCCAGGGGUGACCCUCUCACUAUAAGAGACCCUGAACUAACUACAAA
rnacentral:lncRNA from 1 species